AUCCAGCUGACUCGUCCGAAAUAGAACGAGACGCGCUUCCUGUAU
rfam:Schistosoma rodhaini strain Burundi genome assembly, scaffold: SROB_scaffold0002276